rnacentral:misc_RNA from 1 species
GAUGAAGAACGCAGCGAAAUGCGAUACUUGGUGUGAAUUGCAGAAUCCCGUGAACCAUCGAGUCUUUGAACGCAAGUUGCGCCCGAAGCCACUAGGCCGAGGGCACGCCUGCCUGGGCGUCACACGUCGUUGCCCCCCCAUCUACUCCUUCGGGAUUGCGGGGGGGCGGAUGAUGGCCUCCCGUGCGCCUAGCCGCGCGGUUGGCAUAAAUACCAAGUCCUCGGCGACGCACGCCACGACAAUCGGUGGUUGCGAAACCUCGGUUGCCCGUCGUGUGCGUUCGUCGCGCAUCGAGGGCUCGAAAAAAUGCUCGGCUUCGGCUCGGCUUUCAACGCGACGCCAGGUCAGGCGGGGUUACCCGCUGAAUUUAAGCAUAUCAAUAAGCGGAGGA